rnacentral:rRNA from 1 species
UACGUAGGGCGCAAGCGUGUCCGGAAUUAUUGGGCGUAAAGAGCUCUAGGCGGCUUGUCACGUCGGGUGUGAAAUCCCUCGGCUUAACCGAGGAACUGCCCUCCAAACUGCUUGGCUUGAGUCCGGGAGAGGUGAGUGGAAUUCCCAGUGUAGACGGUGAAAUGCGUAGAUAUUGGGAGGAACACCAGUGGCGAAGGCGGCUCACUGGACCGGACUGACGCUGAGGCGCGAAAGCGUCGGGGAGCAAACGGGG